rnacentral:rRNA from 1 species
GACGAACCGUGCGAACGUUGUUCGGAAUCACUGGGCGUAAAGGGCGGGUAGGCGGCCACCGCAAGUCAGUUGUGAAAUCUCUGGGCUUAACCCAGAAAGGUCAACUGAUACUGCGGGGCUAGAGUGCAGAAGGGGCAACUGGAAUUCUCGGUGUAGCGGUGAAAUGCGUAGAUAUCGAGAGGAACACCUGCGGCGAAGGCGGGUUGCUGGGCUGACACUGACGCUGAACUGCGAAAGCUAGGGGAGCGAACGGG